UACAGAGGUCUCAAGCGUUGUUCGGAUUCAUUGGGCGUAAAGGGUGUGUAGGUGGCGCCGUAAGUCGGGUGUGAAAUUUCGGAGCUUAACUCCGAAACUGCAUUCGAUACUGCGGUGCUUGAGGACUGGAGAGGAGACUGGAAUUCAUGGUGUAGCAGUGAACUGCGUAGAGAUCAUGAGGAAGACCAGUGGCGAAGGCGGGUCUCUGGACAGUUCCUGACACUGAGACACGAAGGCCAGGGGAGCAAACGGG
rnacentral:rRNA from 1 species